UACAGAGGUCCCAAGCGUUGUUCGGAUUCACUGGGCGUAAAGGGUGCGUAGGUGGUGGGGAAAGUCGGAUGUGAAAGCUCGGAGCUCAACUCCGAAAUGGCAUUGGAAACUACCCUGCUAGAGGAUUGGAGGGGGGACUGGAAUACUUGGUGUAGCAGUGAAAUGCGUAGAUAUCAAGUGGAACACCAGUGGCGAAGGCGAGUCCCUGGACAAUUCCUGACACUGAGGCACGAAAGCUAGGGGAGCAAACAGG
rnacentral:rRNA from 1 species